UUCUCUCCUCGUCACGCACUUCGUCUUCACUUCACUCUACUACUAACUCCGUUCAUCAGAGUAUGGCUUUAUCAAAUUCUAAGCUUUGAAUUACUAGCAAACUGUAAUUAUCUGAAAGAAUGAUAAUUUUACUAGGAAAAUAUAUCGUUCUCUCUUAACUUUCAGCAUUUGGUAAGAGACAUUUCACAAUUUCUGAUAUCAAGUUUAAAACCCUUCUAGAGACCAAAAUUGAGGUGGAUUUUCCUUCAUUUUACUCUGUUUUAUUUGAUCUGCAUUUUCACUUUUCUGCCCUAUUAGCUCGUUUGUGAUUGUGGGUUUUCACUUUUCACACAUCGGUCAUGUUGUCUCAGUUUGUCACCCUGGUACCACAUGAUUUUAUUUGUCUAUUUUGUUGAAUUUCACGGUUAUCUUUGAAAUUUCUGAUUUUUUAUUUGUCUAUUUGUCCUAAUUUUUAUUUGUCUAUUUGUCCUAAUUUUUAUUUGUUAGACAAGAGGGGUUGCUGUUGGAGGAAAGGAUGCUGGGGUCUAUUUGGAAACAAAGGGUAGGCUAACGUAUGCGUACACACUACCCUCCCCAGACCCCACUAAGUGGGAUUAUACUGGGUUGUUGUUGUUGUUUCUUCCUCUUGGCAUGAAUAUCCAACAAAACCCUGAUGUAUACUUGAUAUUCAAUGUUUUAUAUAGUUAACAUCAUUUUCUCCUCCUUUUUUGGUGACGAGAAAUCCAUCUGUGGCCAACCCUCGGGACCCACUGCAGCCUUUGAAACUCAGGCAUAGGGGCCGCCACUUAGUUCGCAUUUUGCAAGGCUCAAACCUAUGACUUAAGUCAUAAGUCCCUGAACCUUUGCCCGGACUAAGCCCUGGGGGCUAACAUCAUUUGGUUUUUACUACUUGUUUUUUGUUAUUCUGUUUCUAUAUGAAUCGUCUGAAGUUUUUGUAGAUAAAUAAAUGAAGGAAAAACUAAUUGUGAAGUCCAUUAGCCGUUGUGCUACCAUCACCUGUUUAUUUUUGAGGUUGACUUAUUUUGGAACCUUAGGCUGGGUGAUUAAAAAAGUUGAUUAGGCUUAUAUAUACUUUCAGAGUAUCUAAAAAACUGAAUGCAUAUUUAACAGUUAAACCACCUAAAGUAUCAAAAAGGAGAAGUUACAAUGAACAACCAUGUGCUUUCAUAACAAUGUUAAAUACAUAAGAAUAAUCCAUGAAUAUAACAUUGGUAUGCUGGAUUUAUGAUUACUUUCUUUGAAAAAAAUUAUCUGCAUCUACGACCUAUUAACCUGAAUAAUGUGUAAAGGAUGGAAGAAAUAACAGCCUGUGUAUCAAUAGGUAUGUCCUCUAUAGUGCAUUAGCAUUUCCAAAAGAAAACUACAUUCAUAUUAACGUUCUCUUUCAUAAAAGAUUUUGGACUGAGAGUCCUGGAUUUUCCUUAGAUUUAUUUGAAACAUCAGAUUAUUUGUGUAAAAGCAAUUUGGUUUACGUGUUAUGGAAGGGUUACUUUGUUGCAGUAAGUCAUGUUACUUUAGUUGAAAGCUGCAGGUUCUUCUUGAAAUUCUCUCAAGUACUCAUGGGCUCAGUUGCUGAUAAGUCGGAUGAUGAAUAUUCAAUCAUUACUGAUAAAGGAUGCCGAAGGUCUAUUUGGAAACAGUCUCUCUACCCAAGGGUAGGGGUAAGGUCUGCGUACAUACUACCCUCCUCAGACUCCACUAAGUGGGAUUAUACUGGGUUGUUGU
rnacentral:lncRNA from 1 species